AACGAACGCUGGCGGCAUGCCUAACACAUGCAAGUCGAACGAGACCUUCGGGUCUAGUGGCGCACGGGUGCGUAACCCGUGGGAACCUGCCCUUAGGUUUGGAAUAACUCCCCGAAAGGGGUGCUAAUACCGGAUAAUGUCUUCGGACCAAAGAUUUAUCGCCUUUGGAUGGGCCCGCGUUGGAUUAGCUAGUUGGUAGGGUAAAAGCCUACCAAGGCGACGAUCCAUAGCUGGUCUGAGAGGAUGAUCAGCCACACUGGGACUGAGACACGGCCCAGACUCCUACGGGAGGCAGCAGUGGGGAAUAUUGGACAAUGGGCGAAAGCCUGAUCCAGCAAUGCCGCGUGAGUGAUGAAGGCCUUAGGGUUGUAAAGCUCUUUUACCCGGGAUGAUAAUGACAGUACCGGGAGAAUAAGCUCCGGCUAACUCCGUG
rnacentral:rRNA from 1 species